UACGAAGGGUGCGAGCGUUGUCCGGAAUUAUUGGGCGUAAAGGGCUCGUAGGCGGUCUGUUGCGUCGGGAGUGAAAACUUACAGCUUAACUGUGAGCGUGCUUCCGAUACGGGCAGACUUGAGGUAUUCAGGGGAGAACGGAAUUCCUGGUGUAGCGGUGAAAUGCGCAGAUAUCAGGAGGAACACCGGUGGCGAAGGCGGUUCUCUGGGAAUAUCCUGACGCUGAGGAGCGAAAGUGUGGGGAGCGAACAGG
rnacentral:rRNA from 1 species